rnacentral:rRNA from 1 species
UUGAACGCUGGCGGCAGCGCCUAACACAUGCAAGUCGAGCGGCAGCGGGAAAGUAGCUUGCUACUUUUGCCGGCGAGCGGCGGGACGGGUGAGUAAUGCCUGGGAAAUUGCCCAGUCGAGGGGGAUAACAGUUGGAAACGACUGCUAAUACCGCAUACGCCCUACGGGGGAAAGCAGGGGACCUUCGGGCCUUGCGCGAUUGGAUAUGCCCAGGUGGGAUUAGCUAGUUGGUGAGGUAAUGGCUCACCAAGGCGACGAUCCCUAGCUGGUCUGAGAGGAUGAUCAGCCACACUGGAACUGAGACACGGUCCAGACUCCUACGGGAGGCAGCAGUGGGGAAUAUUGCACAAUGGGGGAAACCCUGAUGCAGCCAUGCCGCGUGUGUGAAGAAGGCCUUCGGGUUGUAAAGCACUUUCAGCGAGGAGGAAAGGUUGAUGCCUAAUACGUANCAACUGUGACGUUACUCGCAGAAGAAGCACCGGCUAAACUC